rnacentral:lncRNA from 1 species
UGUGAAUCUUGUGAUUAAACAGACUUAUUGUAGGUUCUUUUACUGAUUUAAAGAUCAUGGACUAUUUCCCUGUUUUAUAUUAGGAUACGUUUUAUUACACUUAUUUUAAAUAUACAUACAGUCUUUAAACCAUAACAGGUUCAAAUAUGGUCUCAACUCUCUUGGGCUGCUUGAAGGAUUGGGGAACCAUAGGGCAGCUUCCGAGCACUUUUUGUGGACUCCAUAAAGCCUUCCACUGCCAGGGACCUGUUUAAAGUAACCUAUUCCAUACCUGAAUGCAACCGGCGGUGUUUGGAGAAUGACACCAUCUGCCACUGGUUCAACUGGCUGGCUGAGGUGCAAGGUAAAAUAGUCAAUUGUUCCAGUUUAUCGGUAACUGCAUAUUAUUCCAUUUUGUGAUUUAAAUAUGUACUUUAAUGGUUUUACUGUGUACUCCUCAGAUGGAGAAUGUCCUCCUCUAACAGUGGCGCUGGUGUUGGAGGUUGCUACUGGGGCAACGGUGGUGCCACCCCUUGGGUUUGAGGACACCCCGACCAUCGAAUUCCUCCACACAGCGCGAGGGCGUCUCGCUGGGCAGCAGAAGAAAAAGUACCCAGAGGCAAACACGUGUGCUGUGACACUAAGGCUCCCUCUUCAUAGCACCUACAAUGCCUUUAGGGAAUUCAUGACCGCCGGCCUGGGAAGUAAACACUUGCCUAAAAAUGAUGGACAUAGAGCACGAGGCUUUCUGCAAGCUCCGCCGCUCCAUGCACUCCACCUCGCCAGCUGACAUCGAUCCUAAAGUCCACAGCAUCGUGGAGAGAGCUGUGAGGAGCAUUCUGGGCGUGCAGUCCAAUGAGCCCCGUAGCAACCUGCUCAGCCCAUCUCAGGU